GAUGAACGCUGGCGGCGUGCCUAAUACAUGCAAGUCGAGCGAACAGAUAAGGAGCUUGCUCCUUUGACGUUAGCGGCGGACGGGUGAGUAACACGUGGGUAACCUACCUAUAAGACUGGGAUAACUUCGGGAAACCGGAGCUAAUACCGGAUAACAUUUGGAACCGCAUGGUUCCAAAGUGAAAGAUGGUUUUGCUAUCACUUAUAGAUGGACCCGCGCCGUAUUAGCUAGUUGGUAAGGUAACGGCUUACCAAGGCGACGAUACGUAGCCGACCUGAGAGGGUGAUCGGCCACACUGGAACUGAGACACGGUCCAGACUCCUACGGGAGGCAGCAGUAGGGAAUCUUCCGCAAUGGGCGAAAGCCUGACGGAGCAACGCCGCGUGAGUGAUGAAGGGUUUCGGCUCGUAAAACUCUGUUAUUAGGGAAGAACAAAUGUGUAAGUAACUGUGCACGUCUUGACGGUACCUAAUCAGAAAGCCACGGCUAACUACGUG
rnacentral:rRNA from 1 species